GCUCAGGAUGAACGCUGGCGGCGUGCCUAAUACAUGCAAGUCGAGCGAACAGACAAGGAGCUUGCUCCUUUGACGUUAGCGGCGGACGGGUGAGUAACACGUGGGUAACCUACCUAUAAGACUGGGAUAACUUCGGGAAACCGGAGCUAAUACCGGAUAAUAUUUCGAACCGCAUGGUUCGAUAGUGAAAGAUGGUUUUGCUAUCACUUAUAGAUGGACCCGCGCCGUAUUAGCUAGUUGGUAAGGUAACGGCUUACCAAGGCGACGAUACGUAGCCGACCUGAGAGGGUGAUCGGCCACACUGGAACUGAGACACGGUCCAGACUCCUACGGGAGGCAGCAGUAGGGAAUCUUCCGCAAUGGGCGAAAGCCUGACGGAGCAACGCCGCGUGAGUGAUGAAGGUCUUCGGAUCGUAAAACUCUGUUAUUAGGGAAGAACAUACGUGUAAGUAACUAUGCACGUCUUGACGGUACCUAAUCAGAAAGCCACGGCUAACUACGUGCCAGCAGCCGCGGUAAUACGUAGGUGGCAAGCGUUAUCCGGAAUUAUUGGGCGUAAAGCGCGCGUAGGCGGUUUUUUAAGUCUGAUGUGAAAGCCCACGGCUCAACCGUGGAGGGUCAUUGGAAACUGGAAAACUUGAGUGCAGAAGAGGAAAGUGGAAUUCCAUGUGUAGCGGUGAAAUGCGCAGAGAUAUGGAGGAACACCAGUGGCGAAGGCGACUUUCUGGUCUGUAACUGACGCUGAUGUGCGAAAGCGUGGGGAUCAAACAGGAUUAGAUACCCUGGUAGUCCACGCCGUAAACGAUGAGUGCUAAGUGUUAGGGGGUUUCCGCCCCUUAGUGCUGCAGCUAACGCAUUAAGCACUCCGCCUGGGGAGUACGACCGCAAGGUUGAAACUCAAAGGAAUUGACGGGGACCCGCACAAGCGGUGGAGCAUGUGGUUUAAUUCGAAGCAACGCGAAGAACCUUACCAAAUCUUGACAUCCUUUGACAACUCUAGAGAUAGAGCCUUCCCCUUCGGGGGACAAAGUGACAGGUGGUGCAUGGUUGUCGUCAGCUCGUGUCGUGAGAUGUUGGGUUAAGUCCCGCAACGAGCGCAACCCUUAAGCUUAGUUGCCAUCAUUAAGUUGGGCACUCUAAGUUGACUGCCGGUGACAAACCGGAGGAAGGUGGGGAUGACGUCAAAUCAUCAUGCCCCUUAUGAUUUGGGCUACACACGUGCUACAAUGGACAAUACAAAGGGCAGCGAAACCGCGAGGUCAAGCAAAUCCCAUAAAGUUGUUCUCAGUUCGGAUUGUAGUCUGCAACUCGACUACAUGAAGCUGGAAUCGCUAGUAAUCGUAGAUCAGCAUGCUACGGUGAAUACGUUCCCGGGUCUUGUACACACCGCCCGUCACACCACGAGAGUUUGUAACACCCGAAGCCGGUGGAGUAACCAUUUGGAGCUAGCCGUCGAAGGUGGGACAAAUGAUUGGGGUGAAGU
rnacentral:rRNA from 1 species